rnacentral:rRNA from 1 species
UACGUAGGGUGCGAGCGUUAAUCGGAAUUACUGGGCGUAAAGCGUGCGCAGGCGGUUUGGUAAGACAGGCGUGAGAUCCCCGGGCUCAACCUGGGAACUGCAUUUGUGACUGCAUAGCUAGAGUACGGCAGAGGGGGAUGGAAUUCCGCGUGUAGCAGUGAAAUGCGUAGAUAUGCGGAGGAACACCGAUGGCGAAGGCAAUCCCCUGGGCCUGUACUGACGCGUUAUGCACGAAAGCU